ACACGACUUAAUGGUUACCGGGCUUCGGUAUUCGGAGACAUCAUGGACAAAACAGUAGAGAAGUCGUGCUGGGGCGUGACGGUUCGCGCCGUGGCGGGUUUCGGGGGUGUUCUCGUUCUCGCCUAUCUCUUCGGCGGCUUCUGAAGAUAGAUUGAAAUGUCAGGCGAUGCAGUCCACGGGCUGCAUCGCUUUUUUUUGAUCGCCGAACACAUGCGCAGUUCUUCAGUGGCAUGUCGCACGAACAGAAUCCAAUGUCGGUCGGUCGCCUGAUGGAUCGGCAUAGGAUCGCUUAGGGUUCGAUCCUAUAUUAGGG
rnacentral:sRNA from 1 species